rnacentral:rRNA from 1 species
UGGGGAAUUUUGGACAAUGGGGGAAACCCUGAUCCAGCCAUCCCGCGUGUGCGAUGAAGGCCUUCGGGUUGUAAAGCACUUUUGGCAGGAAAGAAACGUCAUGGGUUAAUACCCCGUGAAACUGACGGUACCUGCAGAAUAAGCACCGGCUAACUACGUGCCAGCAGCCGCGGUAAUACGUAGGGUGCAAGCGUUAAUCGGAAUUACUGGGCGUAAAGCGUGCGCAGGCGGUUCGGAAAGAAAGAUGUGAAAUCCCAGGGCUCAACUUUGGAACUGCAUAAUUAACUACCGGGCUAGAGUGUGUCAGAGGGGGGUAGAAUUCCGCGUGUAGCAGUGAAAUGCGUAGAUAUGCAGAGGAACACCGAUGGCGAAGGCAGCCGCCUGGGAUAACACUGACGCUCAUGCACGAAAGCGUGGGGAGCAAACAGG